UGCCUGUGGUAGUAUGGUGGAUGCCGCCG
rnacentral:sRNA from 1 species